GCUGUCACACUUCAGCAAAGCCAGGAGUAAACUGGAAAGCUUUACUUUCUUAUACGAGUGAUGGAUUAUACAUUUGGAAAUAACUGCAGUCUGAAGCCUCUCCAGUGUUUAAUGACAGUGUAAUGAGUGGUUUCCUGCGUUAUGGUGACAAUCCCAAGACCUGGCAACGAGAGUGGACUGUUAUCCCAAGGGCUGAGCCUCCAGUUCUCUCCCUGUAUGCUGUUCCACAGGAUGUGCUGCAGUGCGGAGGAUUCCCCUCAGGAGCUACAGGGUCAAACUUGUUUGUUUAGUUCGGCCCAAAACCACCCAUACUUUCUCCUGCGAUGGUCUAGACCUGAAACAGCGCUGGCUGGUCUGAAAGUUGCUGUGACUGGCAGGAUGCCAGUGUUUACACUGACUGGCUCUGACAUCACCAACAAUGGCUCCAGAUGUGGCAUUAAUGGUAACUUCAUUGAUGAAAGUGUCUCAAGUGGUGAGGAAUUUAUAAUCAAUGGCAACAAGGAAAACCACUCCUGAAUGUUUAGGCACUGUCGAAACUACUCAUUUAAGUAUGUACACGAACAUACAACAACAAGAAAGUUCAUUAAUGUUAGACAGUAGCUUUGAACUAAAUAUUGGGAAUUAAUUACAAAUGAAAUUUAGAACUGAGAACUGUGUUUUCUUUACAAGUGGCUGUGCACUUUAUUUUUUAAAUGGUUUACAGUAAUAUAAAUAAAGUGAAAGUGUUUUAACAUGAGUUAGGCUAUCCCUUCAACUACCAAGAUGUUUGCUCUGUACAGGUUGUCUAAGGUGCCAUGUUAUGUGGCAUGAAAAUAUGCUUAAAGUUCUUUUCUUACAAUGGACAGUAGAACACGUGAUUGCAUAACUUCACUGAUACAUAGAGGCUCAGUCAGAUCAUAAUGGUAUUAUAAAACACAUUCAAUUGAUCCCAUUUCUUAAAAGGUAAUUAAAGCAAUUGAAUAUUUACAGUCAAAAAAAUUACAGCUAAACAUCAUAAACACACUAAAUAAAAAAGAAUAAAUAAAAAAAUGAAAUGGAUAAGAAUGAGCGGAUAUCAACAAAUAAUGGUUUGGGAUGUACUCUACCACAAACUGUCUUGUUUGUGUCAUGUACACAGCACAUAGCAUGAUCAAAGCACCAUAUUAUCUUACUGUAGGGCAUGUUUCUGUCAGAAAGAGGGGAAAAAAACCUUUUCAGAAGUAACACUCACUUGAGAUGAGAUGUUACGUCAAUAAAAUUUCUUUUUCAGCAC